UACGUAGGUGGCAAGCGUUGUCCGGAAUUAUUGGGCGUAAAGCGCGCGCAGGCGGCCUCUUAAGUCUGAUGUGAAAGCCCCCGGCUCAACCGGGGAGGGCCAUUGGAAACUGGGAGGCUUGAGUAUAGGAGAGAAGAGUGGAAUUCCACGUGUAGCGGUGAAAUGCGUAGAGAUGUGGAGGAACACCAGUGGCGAAGGCGACUC
rnacentral:rRNA from 1 species